rnacentral:misc_RNA from 1 species
AAUGUUGUCAUGCUAUGAAGGUGAUCCUCACGGUCUGUAGAGCGAGUGUAGGUAUUGGAAAACCAACCGUGUGAAACCGAAUUUUGAUGCGAGGAGCAAAUAGAAUCAAACCACGUGUGCCUUUUCUCGAAACUAACCAAAUGCCUUUUCAGCAAAUUUCCACUUGAGUGAACAGUAACACGACAAUCAAGGACACGGCUACGUGUCCUUUCUUUCGGCAGCGCUGCACACAUUCCCUUCAUCCAUUGGUUGCUCCGGUAGGACCAUCCUCAAUGCGUAAUGCUUAAUUUCUCCGACUGGAUUACGCUACUCUUCAUACGGACCCACACCUCUUCCAAAAUUUUUCUGGCCAAUCACAUCUCUCAUCUGUUUCAUACUUGCCCUAGACACGUGUUGCUUUUACGCUCUUCUCUCUCUGUUCUGCUCAGCUUGCAUUAUCGCCUGAGCUCACCACUCCUUCAGAAAAGAUUGUUAAAAGCAGAGGCCAUCGAGAAACGGCAAAGAGAAAUGGAUGGUGGGGAUAGGUUGCGCAUGAUACGAUGCGCUGGAGGUACGCAAGAUAAGACUAAGACUAUAAUCAACCAAAUAAUGCUCAGAUUCAG